UCACAAUUAGCAUAAAAUAAAAUCAGAAUAAAAAAAUAAUAUCUAAACAAAUAAACUUGCAAUAAUUAAAGAUAAUAGUUGGGUAGAUUCCAUAUUCUGUACAGAAUUUAAAAUUGUUUGAUGGUAAACAGUCUCUUUUGUCUCAAAAUCCCACAUAUUAGUAAGUUGCAACCAAUCUUGUAAACUAUAUAUAAACAAAAGCAAAGAGAUUUUACACUAAAAGAAUAUCUUUCUGUUCAAUAUUUGGUACAAAAGAAUGAUAAACAAAAACUGGAAACUCAGUGUAGAUCAACAAUAAUGUUUCUGUUCAUCUGUUCCUAUCGACGUACUUGUAAGAAAACAAGAAGGCAAAAGAAGCAAGAUAAAUCCGACCACAGUAUCAAAAUUUCAAGAAGACGAACAUAAAAAAAUAAAAUAUUAAUAAAUUAUAUUUUAAUUUAUUUUUCAUGAUAUAAUUAAAUAUUAAAAAAUAUUUUUUAACUUAUUUUUUAUUAUAUUAUCAAACAACGAAAAAUACUUAAAUUUUUCAAAACUUACUUUUCAAAAGAAACUAAUUUCCAAUAAAAAAACAGUACUAAGCAUGUUUGCUGCUUGAAAAGGCUAAGCUUAUUGCUUGCAUAACGCAACAACUGAUACAAUUCACCAAAGAAUACUUGAAAAACUUUCACGUCUCUUCGUCGUGAGUCUGCAUCACUCCAUUAACAAAAGGCUAGUUAAAUGUUUUCAUAAAAUAAACAUUGUUUUUCUUUUUUAAAUGCUCAUAUUCUUUAAUAAAAAAAAUAUCAAAAAUCAAAUUCCCCUUUAAACAGAAGGAAACCCGGAAGCUGAAAAACCAACCCCAAUCCCAAAAACACCAAAAAUAAACCCAAAUCAAUAAGCUUCAAAUUAUAAGUUGUACCACCAUCACCAACAAUCACAAGCUUGAAGUUUGUACAUAAUCAACAAUUUGCUGAUUAGACAAAGCCUACACAAAUUACUAAUAAACAAAAAUCAUAAAAAAAAACAUUGAGAUUAUUGCAAUAUAGAAAAUGAAAAUGAAUCAAGAGAGGGACGUUGCAUUGUUGAUGGCGGGUUGGGUGGUUGUUAGAAAUCUAAAGUGGGUGGGAGAGAGAUCAGAAUAAGGGUUUGAAUUGAAAUCAAAUAAAAACAAGAAAUGGGAAGAAGAUAGAAUUACUAAGUUUUAAUUUCUUUUAAAAUUAUCAACGAAAACGAAAUCUACUUCGGUAAUUUAACACGUCAGAAAUACCAACAUAUUUUUUCUUAUUUCCUCGCCAUUUUCAUCAAAAACUACUAACAGAGAAUUGAUUGAUUUGUGACAGAAAGCCUAUUAGACACCAAAUUGGAUGAAAGAUGAUGAGAGAAGUGUCUUCCUUCCAGAAUGUGAAAUUAUUUCCUACGCCAUCUAAAAGAAACCCCAAAAAGAGAAAGAAACAGAUCUCACACGCAUGUCAUCAGAUACGAGAAAGAUGUUGAUAGAUCACAGAUGUGUUCAGUAUUGUUCUCCAAGACCUUUCAACCAAAACACACAGCACUUUGGUCAGAAAUGUUUUCUUCUCACUAUUAGAACUUAGACAGGCCUAUACCCUCAAAGGAUAUGAUAUCAAGCAUAAUUCAUGUCAGAAAGAAUCACCCUUGAGAAUUGUAGGAAAAAUUGAAUUUAAGAUAUUUUCAACCAAGCUCCACUUGUUUCCUUGUGAGGAAAAAAAGUAGAUAAAAAAUUAAAA
rnacentral:lncRNA from 1 species